ACCGUGGAUGCAGGAUAAAAGAUCUCGUCCGGCUCUGGACCUAUGUUGAGAAGAUCUUCUACUGGAACAGCUCUCAGUUGAGGCAGAGAACAUCGGAACUGAUGCACCAACUGCACGUGAUUUAAGAAACCACUGUCUCUGAGAAAGCAGAUAUAAAUCAUGGAUCCUGCUGUAUACCUGUUUUAAUAGAUGACAAAUAAAUAGCUACAAAAGAAAAUAUCUCGUAAAUAAUUACAGCGCUUCUAAUCAUAAUUUAUUCACUUCCGCAUUACGAGUACGUUUCAUAAGACCUUAGAGAAUAACGGAUAAACGAUAAACCCGCUUAAAAACCUACAAUUUCGGUACAACGUAUUGAUCUUAACAACAUGGACUACGUGAUGUACUGCAUGAAGGAAACUAAUUGAAAUUCCUCACGCAGAUGAGGUGAGAGUGGGUCAUCGAGAUUCAUAACGGAAUUCGCACCUUUUUGAAAGUCCAGCAUUUCAUCCAAUUGAGUCAUCGCCAAAUGACUCAUAGAAUAAAAGUUUCGUAUCUCUAUAAUAUAAAUCGAUACACUUUUAUUUCUUAUUCAUUCAUCAUCCGAAAGGCUCACCGUGUUAUUAAU